GCUGUUUCUGUAUAUAAAUGUUGAUGGUGAUUAAUUUCACAACGGUUGCUUUGUUCCAUUGCCUCCUAUGUCAACACUUGACUUACAAAUAGCGGUAACCUUAGAAUUAGAACGACCUUGGGACAAAACACAACUCAGGUACGAAAAGGUGACGACUUUGUCUGAUAUUACAGUACUAAUACCUGCUUGGAGUAGUGACUUGUUCACUUGGGACCAAUGUAGUGGUGUAAUCAAUGGCAGCCAUCUCUCUGGAUACUUAAUCUGUAAACGUAUUGUCAAUUCAUUCGUCGGGACAGUUUCCAUUUAUUUAUAAACAGAAAAACCUGUAUAAAAUGUUUCCCUUGAAAAAUUAAGAUAUUUAAUCUAGUUAAUGGCGCACAUUGUACACCGGUGUUGGUCCCAAAAAGUAUAACAAAGUUCAGUCUUAUUUAAUAACGUUUACAAUUCAAUGAAUUAGGUGUUGUUGAUGAAAGUGGUGAACGGAAAGUGGCCUUCGGUUUUCAUAACUUGUGUACCGACCUUCAAAAAUACAAGUACACUUGUGCACACAUAUAUGUGCAACUAUUGCAUCCUGGGAGAUGUAGAUGAUGAAUGAAAAUAAGUGUACCCGGUAAUUGGCACGAGAAAAAUAAUACGUAUCAAUUAAUACGUUUUUUGUAUGUUUUAUAUGUCUGAAAAGAUAAUCUUGUUGAAUCUGACAUUAACCCACCAUUUACCACUUUCAAUCUCUGAUCUAUCACUGAUAAGUGUCAUUUACACAACGACAGUAACUAUAUCGGGUGUUCAACGGCACACGUUCCACGUGUCUUUCAAUAUGCCAAACCGUUUUGUAUCAUUUCGAUGCUUCGUUUAAAUUAUCUACAUAUUUACAACACUACCAAUUGUAUUAACUUUCAGUAGUUGUUAAUUAGUUCAGCUAUUGCCAAUUUAUAAUUAUCGGUACAUUCUAGAUUUGAACAUGUUUUCAUUGUCUUUAAUCAUUUUAACAUAAGGACGUGGAUCUCUUUCUAAACAAACGGAAUGACGAUGUUCCUUUACUUAUCUAUUUUGCGUAAUUAAUGCCACAAUGACUGAAACCCCAUGUAACACUGCUCUCUAAUAUAACAUUUUGAUUAAAAAGUAAAAAAAAAAUAGUAAUAAAAAACGACAAGAGAUCCACGUCUUUGUAUAUUGCUACAUGUAUGGUUGUUUACUUAUGUAAACCUACAUACAGCUUCUACAAGUCUAAGAUUCUACUCCAAAUUUCACAGACAUUAUGACCUAUGACCUCUAGAGAUAUAGUGACGUAUUGCAGUGCUUUGCCAUGUGUUCUUGACAAUAUUUUUACUUUCAGUUUUUGAGAAGUUCUAAGUCAGCACUACCGCAGCCCAGCGAUUUGACGAUGUCCCUUAAACAUGAACUUGCUCACAAUAUGUGAUUAGUAAGUUGUUCUCCUCUUCGGAGGGACUACCUACCACGCAAGUUCGCCGAGAACACAGUUUCUACGUGGACAGGCGAAUUUGUCCUGGUUUCCGGUACAAGGUACGUUACGUCAGCAGAAAUGACGACGUGUUUGACGGAAAAGGGC